rnacentral:tRNA from 1 species
CGCCCAUUCUGCUAUGGGUAGGCAACUAGACUUUCAAUCUAGCAAAGCGAGUUCGAGUCUCGCAUGGGCGA